GUAUGGCUUCUAACCCAUUUAAGUUUUAUUAUUUAUAUUUUAAACGACAAUGGAUGUGAUGCCAAUGUAAUUUGUAACAUAGUAAAUUGGGAGGAUCUUUGAUCACCUGGUGCCAUGCUAGUUACAUAUGAAAACAUUAUUUAAUACAAUGACAAAGCCUAGAAUCAAUUGUAAACGACUUUUGUAACGGGCAAGGUGUUGUAAGUGGUUGAGCAGCUGCCAUACUGCGAUCCACUGAAGCUUAUCCUUUGCUUGAUGAUUCGA
rnacentral:ncRNA from 1 species